UUGGGGUGUGUCGUGUUAGGGUUGGUGUGUCUUGGUUAGGUUAGGUUUGGGGUGUGUUGUGUUAGGGUUGGUGUGUCUUGGUUAGGUUAGGUUUGGGGUGUGUUGUGUUAGGGUUGGUGUGUCUUGGUUAGGUUAGGUUUGGGGUGUGUUGUGUUUGGGUUGGUGUGUGUUGGUUAGGUUAGGUUUGGGGUGUGUUGUGUUGGGGUUGGUGUGUGUUGGUUAGGUUAGGUUUGGGGUGUGUUGUGUUUGGGUUGGUGUGUCUUGGUUAGGUUAGGUUUGGGGUGUGUUGUGUUAGGGUUGGUGUGUGUUGGUUAGGUUAGGUUUGGGGUGUGUUGUGUUUGGGUUGGUGUGUCUUGGUUAGGUUAGGUUUGGGGUGUGUUGUGUUAGGGUUGGUGUGUCUUGGUUAGGUUAGGUUUGGGGUGUGUUGUGUUUGGGUUGGUGUGUCUUGGUUAGGUUAGGUUUGGGGUGUGUUGUGUUAGGGUUGGUGUGUGUUGGUUAGGUUAGGUUUGGGGUGUGUUGUGUUAGGGUUGGUGUGUGUUGGUUAGGUUAGGUUUGGGGUGUGUUGUGUUUGGGUUGGUGUGUCUUGGUUAGGUUAGGUUUGGGGUGUGUUGUGUUGGGGUUGGUGUGUCUUGGUUAGGUUAGGUUAGGUUUGGGGUGUGUUGUGUUGGGGUUGGUGUGUGUUGGUUAGGUUAGCUUUGGGGUGAGGUUUGCUUUGGGGUGUGUUGUGUUACUGUUAAGGUUGGUUUGGGUUGGUUAGGUUAGGUUUGGGAUGAGGUUUGCUUUGGGGUGUGUUGUGUUAGGGGAGAUAAAAGUAGAUAUGUUAAGGAAGAGGAGAAGGAGGAAGAAAUGGUAAAGUAAGGAAGAAAAAAAAGCAGAAGAGGAGAAACAUAAAAGGGGGAGAAGGAGGAGGAAGAAGAUAAAUAAAGAGAGAAGAGGAGGAGAAGGAAGAGGAGUAAAGAAGAAGGAGGAGGAGAAGGAGAAGGAGGAAGCACAAGAACACCAUCACCCAUCACCAUCACCACCAUCAUUACGUAGCCAGACCAAAAUAACAUAACUCGCUGACGCUAUUUUACGAACCGACCCCCUCUCUCUCUCUCUCUCUCCCCCACUCUAUCGCUCUCGCU